AGUGAACGCUGGCGGUAGGCCUAACACAUGCAAGUCGAACGGCAGCACAGAGGAGCUUGCUCCUUGGGUGGCGAGUGGCGGACGGGUGAGGAAUACAUCGGAAUCUACUCUGUCGUGGGGGAUAACGUAGGGAAACUUACGCUAAUACCGCAUACGACCUACGGGUGAAAGCAGGGGACCUUCGGGCCUUGCGCGAUUGAAUGAGCCGAUGUCGGAUUAGCUAGUUGGCGGGGUAAAGGCCCACCAAGGCGACGAUCCGUAGCUGGUCUGAGAGGAUGAUCAGCCACACUGGAACUGGGACACGGUCCAGACUCCUACGGGAGGCAGCAGUGGAGAAUAUUGGACAAUGGGCGCAAGCCUGAUCCAGCCAUACCGCGUGGGUGAAGAAGGCCUUCGGGUUGUAAAGCCCUUUUGUUGGGAAAGAAAUCCAGCUGGCUAAUACCCGGUUGGGAUGACGGUACCCAAAGAAUAAGCACCGGCUAACUUCGUGCCAGCAGCCGCAGUAA
rnacentral:rRNA from 1 species